CGAAAUGCGAUAAGUAAUGUGAAUUGCAGAAUUCAGUGAAUCAUCGAAUCUUUGAACGCACAUUGCGCCCAUUAGUAUUCUAGUGGGCAUGCCUGUUCGAGCGUCAUUUCAACCCUUAAGCCUAGCUUAGUGUUGGGAGACUGCCUAAUACGCAGCUCC
rnacentral:rRNA from 1 species